rnacentral:lncRNA from 1 species
GGAGGAGGGCACAGGGGGUGUCUGCAGGGUCACUGCCAGUGCCACCAACGGGGAGGAGCUGCCGGAUGCCGGGAUCUCCCCCAGCCCUCCCGAGGAGCUCGGGCAGCAGGAAAAGCAGCGGGAAAAGCUGCAGGAAAAGGAGCUGGAAAAGCAACGGGAAAAGGAGCUGGAAAAGCAGCGGGAAAAGCAGGAAAAGCAGCAGGAAAAGCAGCAGGAAAAACAACGGGAAAAGCAGGAAAUGCAGCGGGAAAUGCAGCGGGAAAUGCAGGANUUUGGGAAUGGGGUGGGGGAAUUGGGAAUGGGGGAAUUGGGAAUGGGGUGGAGGAGUUUGGGAAUGGGAAUGGGAUGUGGGAGUUUGGGAAUGGGAUGGGGGAAUUGGGAAUGGGG